AGAGUUUGAUCCUGGCUCAGGACGAACGCUGGCGGCAGGCCUAACACAUGCAAGUCGGACGCCCCUAAUUUUUCGGAAGGACGGGGAGUGGCAGACGGGUGAGUAACGCGUGGGAACCUACCCAGUAGUACGGAACAACACAGAGAAAUUUGUGCUAAUACCGUAUACGCCCCAAGGGGGAAAGAUUUAUCGCUAUUGGAUGGGCCCGCGUUGGAUUAGCUUGUUGGUGAGGUAACGGCUCACCAAGGCGACGAUCCAUAGCUGGUCUGAGAGGAUGAUCAGCCACACUGGGACUGAGACACGGCCCAGACUCCUACGGGAGGCAGCAGUGGGGAAUAUUGGACAAUGGGCGCAAGCCUGAUCCAGCCAUGCCGCGUGAGUGAUGACGGCCCUAGGGUUGUAAAGCUCUUUCAACGGUGAAGAUAAUGACGGUAACCGUAGAAGAAGCCCCGGCUAACUUCGUGCCAGCAGCCGCGGUAAUACGAAGGGGGCUAGCGUUGUUCGGAAUUACUGGGCGUAAAGCGCACGUA
rnacentral:rRNA from 1 species